CGGGGUGCAGCAGGCGCGAAAACUUUACAAUGCGGGAAACCGUGAUAAGGGAACUCCGAGUGCCCGUAAAAUCGGGCUGUCCAUCUGUUUAAAUAACAGGUGAAGAAAGGGCCGGGCAAGACCGGUGCCAGCCGCCGCGGUAAUACCGGCGGCUCGAGUGGUGGCCACUAUUACUGGGCUUAAAGCGUUCGUAGCUGGUCUGUUAAGUCUCUGGGGAAAUCUACUGGCUUAACCAAUAGGCGUUUCAGGGAUACUGGCAGACUAGGGACCGGGAGAGGUGAGGGGUACUCCAGGGGUAGAAGUGAAAUCCUGUAAUCCUUGGGGGACCACCUGUGGCGAAGGCGCCUCACCAGAACGGCUCCGACAGUGAGGGACGAAAGCUGGGGGAGCAAACCGGAUUAGAUACCCGGGUAGUCCCAGCCGUAAACGAUGCGCGUUAGGUGUAUCGGUGACCACGAGUCACCGAGGUGCCGAAGAGAAAUCGUGAAACGUGCCGCCUGGGAAGUACGGUCGCAAGGCUGAAACUUAAAGGAAUUGGCGGGGGAGC
rnacentral:rRNA from 1 species